GAUAGCUCAGCUGGAUAGAGCAACGGCCUUCUAAGCCGUCGGUCGCAGGUUCGAAUCCUGCUC
rnacentral:tRNA from 1 species